rnacentral:rRNA from 1 species
UACGGGAGGCAGCAGUGGGGAAUAUUGCACAAUGGGCGCAAGCCUGAUGCAGCCAUGCCGCGUGUAUGAAGAAGGCCUUCGGGUUGUAAAGUACUUUCAGUCGUGAGGAAGGUGUUAAGGUUAAUAACCUUAGCAAUUGACGUUAGCGACAGAAGAAGCACCGGCUAACUCCGUGCCAGCAGCCGCGGUAAUACGGAGGGUGCGAGCGUUAAUCGGAAUUACUGGGCGUAAAGGGCACGCAGGCGGUUAAUUAAGUUGGAUGUGAAAUCCCCGGGCUUAACCUGGGAAUGGCAUUCAAGACUGGUUAGCUAGAGUCUUGUAGAGGGGGUAGAAUUCCAUGUGUAGCGGUGAAAUGCGUAGAGAUGUGGAGGAAUACCGGUGGCGAAGGCGGCCCCUGGGACAAAGACUGACGCUCAUGUGCGAAAGCGUGGGGAGCGAAACAGGGAUUUAGAUACC